rnacentral:rRNA from 1 species
GGGUUGUGAGGUUAAGUGACUAAGCGUACACGGUGGAUGCCUAGGCAGUCAGAGGCGAUGAAGGGCGUGCUAAUCUGCGAAAAGCGUCGGUAAGGUGAUAUGAACCGUUACAACCGGCGAUACCCGAAUGGGGAAACCCAGUGUGUUUCGACACACUAUCAUGUCAUGAAUACAUAGUGGCAUGAGGCGAACCGGGGGAACUGAAACAUCUAAGUACCCCGAGGAAAAGAAAUCAACCGAGAUUCCCCCAGUAGCGGCGAGCGAACGGGGAGGAGCCCAGAACCUGAAUCGGCUUGUGUGUUAGUGGAAGCGUCUGGAAAGUCGCGCAGCAAAGGGUGAUAGCCCCGUACACUAAAAUGCACAGGUCGUGAGUUCGAUGAGUAGGGCGGGACACGUGACAUCCUGUCUGAAUAUGGGGGGACCAUCCUCCAAGGCUAAAUACUCCUGACUGACCGAUAGUGAACCAGUACCGUGAGGGAAAGGCGAAAAGAACCCCGGCGAGGGGAGUGAAAUAGAACCUGAAACCGUGUACGUACAAGCAGUGGGAGCACCUUCGUGGUGUGACUGCGUACCUUUUGUAUAAUGGGUCAGCGACUUAUAUUUUGUAGCAAGGUUAACCGUAUAGGGGAGCCGUAGGGAAACCGAGUCUUAACUGGGCGAAUAGUUGCAAGGUAUAGACCCGAAACCCGGUGAUCUAGCCAUGGGCAGGUUGAAGGUUGGGUAACACUAACUGGAGGACCGAACCGACUAAUGUUGAAAAAUUAGCGGAUGACUUGUGGCUGGGGGUGAAAGGCCAAUCAAACCGGGAGAUAGCUGGUUCUCCCCGAAAGCUAUUUAGGUAGCGCCUCGUGAACUCAUCUUCGGGGGUAGAGCACUGUUUCGGCUAGGGGGCCAUCCCGGCUUACCAAACCGAUGCAAACUCCGAAUACCGAAGAAUGUUAUCACGGGAGACACACGGCGGGUGCUAACGUCCGUCGUGAAGAGGGAAACAACCCAGACCGCCAGCUAAGGUCCCAAAGUCAUGGUUAAGUGGGAAACGAUGUGGGAAGGCAUAGACAGCCAGGAUGUUGGCUUAGAAGCAGCCAUCAUUUAAAGAAAGCGUAAUAGCUCACUGGUCGAGUCGGCCUGCGCGGAAGAUGUAACGGGGCUAAACCAUGCACCGAAGCUGCGGCAGCGACGCUUAGGCGUUGUUGGGUAGGGGAGCGUUCUGUAAGCCGUUGAAGGUGGCCUGUGAGGGUUGCUGGAGGUAUCAGAAGUGCGAAUGCUGACAUAAGUAACGAUAAAGCGGGUGAAAAGCCCGCUCGCCGGAAGACCAAGGGUUCCUGUCCAACGUUAAUCGGGGCAGGGUGAGUCGACCCCUAAGGCGAGGCUGAAAAGCGUAGUCGAUGGGAAACAGGUUAAUAUUCCUGUACUUGGUGUUACUGCGAAGGGGGGACGGAGAAGGCUAGGCUAGCCGGGCGACGGUUGUCCCGGUUUAAGCGUGUAGGGGGUGUGACCUGGUAAAUCCGGUUGCAUACCAACCCUGAGGCGUGAUGACGAUGCACUACGGUGCAGAAGUAGUUGAUGCCCUGCUUCCAGGAAAAGCCUCUAAGCUCUAGGUAACAUUAAAUCGUACCCCAAACCGACACAGGUGGUCAGGUAGAGAAUACCAAGGCGCUUGAGAGAACUCGGGUGAAGGAACUAGGCAAAAUGGUGCCGUAACUUCGGGAGAAGGCACGCUGGCAUGUAGGUGAAGUCCUUCGCGGAUGGAGCUGAAGCCAGUCGAAGAUACCAGCUGGCUGCAACUGUUUAAUAAAAACACAGCACUGUGCAAACACGAAAGUGGACGUAUACGGUGUGACGCCUGCCCGGUGCUGGAAGGUUAAUUGAUGGGGUCAGCCGCAAGGCGAAGCUCUUGAUCGAAGCCCCAGUAAACGGCGGCCGUAACUAUAACGGUCCUAAGGUAGCGAAAUUCCUUGUCGGGUAAGUUCCGACCUGCACGAAUGGCGUAAUGAUGGCCAGGCUGUCUCCACCCGAGACUCAGUGAAAUUGAACUCGCUGUGAAGAUGCAGUGUACCCGCGGCAAGACGGAAAGACCCCGUGAACCUUUACUAUAGCUUGACACUGAACAUUGAGCCUUGAUGUGUAGGAUAGGUGGGAGGCUUUGAAGCGUGGACGCCAGUCUGCGUGGAGCCAUCCUUGAAAUACCACCCUUUAAUGUUUGAUGUUCUAACUCGGCCCCAUAAUCUGGGGUGAGGACAGUGUCUGGUGGGUAGUUUGACUGGGGCGGUCUCCUCCCAAAGAGUAACGGAGGAGCACGAAGGUUAGCUAAUCACGGUCGGACAUCGUGAGGUUAGUGCAAAGGCAUAAGCUAGCUUGACUGCGAGAGUGACGGCUCGAGCAGGUACGAAAGUAGGUCUUAGUGAUCCGGUGGUUCUGAAUGGAAGGGCCAUCGCUCAACGGAUAAAAGGUACUCCGGGGAUAACAGGCUGAUACCGCCCAAGAGUUCAUAUCGACGGCGGUGUUUGGCACCUCGAUGUCGGCUCAUCACAUCCUGGGGCUGAAGUAGGUCCCAAGGGUAUGGCUGUUCGCCAUUUAAAGUGGUACGCGAGCUGGGUUUAGAACGUCGUGAGACAGUUCGGUCCCUAUCUGCCGUGGGCGUUGGAAGAUUGAGAGGGGUUGCUCCUAGUACGAGAGGACCGGAGUGAACGCACCACUGGUGUUCGGGUUGUCAUGCCAAUGGCAUUGCCCGGUAGCUAAGUGCGGAAAAGAUAAGCGCUGAAAGCAUCUAAGCGCGAAACUUGCCUCAAGAUGAGUCUUCCCUGGGCCUUUAAGGCCCCUGAAGGAACGUUUAAGACUAAGACGUUGAUAGGCUGGGUGUGUAAGUGCAGCGAUGCAUUGAGCUAACCAGUACUAAUGAUCCGUGAGGCUUAACCUUACAACACCGAAGGUGUUU